rnacentral:rRNA from 1 species
UACGUAAGCAGCGAGCGUUGUUCGGAGUUACUGGGCGUAAAGGGUGCGUAGGCGGUUGUUUAAGUCUGGUGUGAAAUCUCCCGGCUCAACUGGGAGGGUGCGCCGGAUACUGAGGGGCUAGAGUGUGGGAGAGGAAAGUGGAAUUCCUGGUGUAGCGGUGAAAUGCGUAGAUAUCAGGAGGAACGCCGGUGGUGUAAACGGCUUUCUGGACCAUAACUGACGCUGAGGCACGAAAGCGUGGGUAGCAAACAGG